rnacentral:rRNA from 1 species
UGUGAAGAUGCAGUGUACCCGCGGCAAGACGGAAAGACCCCGUGAACCUUUACUAUAGCUUGACACUGAACAUUGAGCCUUGAUGUGUAGGAUAGGUGGGAGGCUUUGAAGUGUGGACGCCAGUCUGCAUGGAGCCGACCUUGAAAUACCACCCUUUAAUGUUUGAUGUUCUAACGUAGGCCCCUUAUCGGGGUUGCGGACAGUGUCUGGUGGGUAGUUUGACUGGGGCGGUCUCCUCCUAAAGAGUAACGGAGGAGCACGAAGGUUGGCUAAUCCUGGUCGGACAUCAGGAGGUUAGUGCAAUGGCAUAAGCCAGCUUGACUGCGAGCGUGACGGCGCGAGCAGGUGCGAAAGCAGGUCAUAGUGAUCCGGUGGUUCUGAAUGGAAGGGCCAUCGCUCAACGGAUAAAAGGUACUCCGGGGAUAACAGGCUGAUACCGCCCAAGAGUUCAUAUCGACGGCGGUGUUUGGCACCUCGAUGUCGGCUCAUCACAUCCUGGGGCUGAAGUAGGUCCCAAGGGUAUGGCUGUUCGCCAUUUAAAGUGGUACGCGAGCUGGGUUUAGAACGUCGUGAGACAGUUCGGUCCCUAUCUGCCGUGGGCGCUGGAGAACUGAGGGGGGCUGCUCCUAGUACGAGAGGACCGGAGUGGACGCAUCACUGGUGUUCGGGUUGUCAUGCCAAUGGCACUGCCCGGUAGCUAAAUGCGGAAGAGAUAAGUGCUGAAAGCAUCUAAGCACGAAACUUGCCCCGAGAUGAGUUCUCCCUGACCCUUUAAGGGUCCUGAAGGAACGUUGAAGACGACGACGUUGAUAGGCCGGGUGUGUAAGCGCAGCGAUGCGUUGAGCUAACCGGUACUAAUGAACCGUGAGGCUUAACCUUACAA